CCUACGGGUGGCAGCAGUGGGGAAUAUUGCACAAUGGGGGAAACCCUGAUGCAGCGACGCCGCGUGAGUGAAGAAGUAUUUCGGUAUGUAAAGCUCUAUCAGCAGGGAAGAAAAUGAUGUUACCUGACUACGAAGCCCCGGCUAAAUACGUGCCAGAAACCGCGGUAAUACGUAGGGGGGAAGCGUUAUGCUGUUUUAAUGGUUGGAAAGGUAAAGUAGGGUGCAGGGUUAGCCAGAAGGGAAAACCAGCGGCUCAACCCCGCGGAUUGCUUUUGGAACUAGCAGGCUGGAGUGCUGGAGGGGGAAGCAGAAUUCCUAGUGUAGCGGUGAAAUGCGUAGAGAUGAGGAGGAACACCGGUGGCGAAGGCGGCUUACUGGACAGAAACUGACACUGAGGCUCGAAAGCGUGGGGAGCAAACAGGAUUAGAUACCCUGGUAGUC
rnacentral:rRNA from 1 species